UGGCUUAAUUUUUUAAACUUGAAUAAAUCUUUUAGGAAUUUUGAAAGAGUGUAAUCUUUAAUAAAGUUGGAUGUAUUAUAAAUAUUCUAAAAAUUUUAAUAUUGUGUUAUUGAACUUCUUUGAUAUGAUUAUUUUUUUUCCUCUUUUAUUUGUAAUAGGUAGUUUUUUUAGAUUUUAUUGUGAAGUUGAUUUACUAUCUUCUCUUAAUUGACUUACUUCUUGGUGUAGACAUUAGAUGUAAUAGGAUACAGAUAAGAUAUUUGUAUAAGGAUAGAUAAU
rnacentral:lncRNA from 1 species